UACGUAGGGCGCAAGCGUUGUCCGGAAUUAUUGGGCGUAAAGAGCUCGUAGGCGGUUUGUCGCGUUUGCUGUGAAAACCUAAGGCUCAACCUUGGGCUUGCAGUGGGUACGGGCAGACUAGAGUGCGGUAGGGGUGACUGGAAUUCCUGGUGUAGCGGUGGAAUGCGCAGAUAUCUGGAGGAAUACCGGUGGCGAAGGCGGCAUCCUGGACCGACAUUUGACGCUGAGGAGCGAAAAGCUAGGGGGAGCAAACGGGG
rnacentral:rRNA from 1 species